rnacentral:tmRNA from 1 species
GGGUUAGUAAAGGUUUCGACAGGGGUUCGGAAGGUGGAGAAGCUAUCCGUCGCCGCACGUAAACGGCAAACCUAAAAAUAAACGCUAACGAUAAUAGAGUAGCACUGGCCGCUUAAGGCCAUGCCGCCCGGUGAGCACCUGCUCUUGCCGGUAACGGCAUCAUGAUGGCAGGAAACGACGCAGACUAAGCUUUGCCUCUGCGGGCGUAUGAUGAAGCUACCUGCAUUCCGGGAUUGACUGUUUUCCCGGUCUGCGGGGAACAGGACCGCUUCGGGCGGCCCGAAAAAACCGUCUAUGAUAGUAGAAGGACAUUGGAAGGGCUUUUGGACGCGGGUUCGACUCCCGCCUAAUCCACUC